GACGAACGCUGGCGGCGUGCUUAACACAUGCAAGUCGAACGGAAAGGCCCUGCUUUUGUGGGGUGCUCGAGUGGCGAACGGGUGAGUAACACGUGAGUAACCUGCCCUUGACUUUGGGAUAACUUCAGGAAACUGGGGCUAAUACCGGAUAGGAGCUCCUGCUGCAUGGUGGGGGUUGGAAAGUUUCGGCGGUUGGGGAUGGACUCGCGGCUUAUCAGCUUGUUGGUGGGGUAGUGGCUUACCAAGGCUUUGACGGGUAGCCGGCCUGAGAGGGUUACCGGCGACAUUGGGACUAAGAUACGGCCCAGACUCCUACGGGAGGCAGCAGUGGGGAAUAUUGCACAGUGGGCGGAAGCCUGAUGCAGCAACGCCGCGUGCGGGAUGACGGCCUUCGGGUUGUAAACCGCUUUCGCCUGUGACGAAGCGUGAGUGACGGUAAUGGGUAAAGAAGCACCGGCUAACUACGUG
rnacentral:rRNA from 1 species